CCUACGGGUGGCAGCAGUGGGGAAUAUUGGACAAUGGGCGAAAGCCUGAUCCAGCCAUGCCGCGUGUGUGAAGAAGGCCUUCGGGUUGUAAAGCACUUUCAGUGGGGAAGAAAGCCUUGGGGCUAAUACCCUCGAGGAAGGACAUCACCCACAGAAGAAGCACCGGCUAACUCCGUGCCAGCAGCCGCGGUAAUACGGAGGGUGCGAGCGUUAAUCGGAAUUACUGGGCGUAAAGCGCGCGUAGGCGGUCUGAUAAGCCGGUUGUGAAAGCCCCGGGCUCAACCUGGGAACGGCAUCCGGAACUGUCAGGCUAGAGUGCAGGAGAGGAAGGUAGAAUUCCCGGUGUAGCGGUGAAAUGCGUAGAGAUCGGGAGGAAUACCAGUGGCGAAGGCGGCCUUCUGGACUGACACUGACGCUGAGGUGCGAAAGCGUGGGUAGCAAACAGGAUUAGUACCGUGUAGUC
rnacentral:rRNA from 1 species